rnacentral:tRNA from 1 species
AAUAGAUUGCCUGAUAAAAGGAUUACUUUGAUAGAGUAAAUCAUAUAAUUUUUUAAAUUAUAUCUAUUA